CAACAGGGAUUGCCCUAGUAACGGCGAGUGAAGCGGCAACAGCUCAAAUUUGAAAUCUGGCUCUUUCAGAGUCCGAGUUGUAAUUUGCAGAGGGCGCUUUGGCUUUGGCAGCGGUCCAAGUUCCUUGGAACAGGACGUCACAGAGGGUGAGAAUCCCGUACGUGGUCGCUAGCUAUUGCCGUGUAAAGCCCCUUCGACGAGUCGAGUUGUUUGGGAAUGCAGCUCUAAAUGGGAGGUAAAUUUCUUCUAAAGCUAAAUAUUGGCCAGAGACCGAUAGCGCACAAGUAGAGUGAUCGAAAGAUGAAAAGCACUUUGGAAAGAGAGUCAAACAGCACGUGAAAUUGUUGAAAGGGAAGCGCUUGCAGCCAGACUUGCUUGCAGUUGCUCAUCCGGGCUUUUGCCCGGUGCACUCUUCUGUAGGCAGGCCAGCAUCAGUUUGGGCGGUGGGAUAAAGGUCUCUGUCACGUACCUCUCUUCGGGGAGGCCUUAUAGGGGAGACGACAUACCACCAGCCUAGACUGAGGUCCGCGCAUCUGCUAGGAUGCUGGCGUAAUGGCUGUAAGCGGCCCGUCUUGAAACACGGACCAAGGAGUCUAACAUCUAUGCGAGUGUUUGGGUGUCAAGCCCGAGCGCGUAAUGAAAGUGAACGGAGGUGGGAACCCGCAAGGGUGCACCAUCGACCGAUCCUGAAGUUUACGGAAGGAUUUGAGUAAGAGCAUGGCUGUUGGGACCCGAAAGAUGGUGAACUAUGCUUGAAUAGGGUGAAGCCAGAGGAAACUCUGGUGGAGGCUCGCAGCGGUUCUGACGUGCAAAUCGAUCGUCAAAUUUGGGCAUAGGGGCGAAAGACUAAUCGAACU
rnacentral:rRNA from 2 species